CAAUAGCGUAUAUUAAAGUUGUUGCAGUUAAAAAGCUCGUAGUUGAAUUUUUGCUUGCCGCCGAUGUCGGAACUUCCGUACGUUCGGCGGCGUGCAUCCUUGGGUGGAACCUGUGUGGCAUUAGGUUGUCGUGCAGGGGAUGCUCAUCGUUUACUGUGAAAAAAUUAGAGUGUUCAAAGCAGGCUUACGCCGUUGAAUAUAUUAGCAUGGAAUAAUAAGAUAGGACCUUGGUACUAUUUUGUUGGUUUGCGCACCGAGGUAAUGAUUAACAGGGACAGUUGGGGGUAUUCGUAUUCCAUUGUCAGAGGUGAAAUUCUUGGAUUUCUGGAAGACGGACUACUGCGAAANCANNNACCAAGGAUGUUUUCAUNAG
rnacentral:rRNA from 1 species